AUAUAUAUAUGAAAAUAUAUUACAUAUAUAACAAAAAUAUUUAUGAAAAUUUGGGUAUUGAACAUGUCACUUAGUGUUUAGUGUUUCUCUAUAUAUACUGUAGAAUAAUGGGUUUAGUUUCACACAAGAAAAGAAAGGAAGAAAGAAAGAGAGAAAAAGAGAGAAAGAACUUAGCUAGUUGAAUCAAAAGAGUCAUUUCUGAGGAAUGUUGUUUAUAUACGUGAUAUGAUGCGGUUCGGUACAAACUUUUCAUGCUAAAUUGCUCGCUUUGACAUUUGCAUUACGAGAAAUUAACACUACAACAUUUUGUAUCUUGAUUGUACUAAAAAUGUCCAUCUAUAUUUUGAUUGGCUAGUUAAGAGGAGGGAAUAAGAAAAACAAAUUUUGAUUGUUCUUUGGUUGAUUUUUAGUUUAAUAAAAAA
rnacentral:sRNA from 1 species